AUAACGGUCCUAAGGUAGCGAAAUUCCUUGUCAGGUAAGUUCUGACCCGCACGAAUGGCGUAAUGACUUGUGCACUGUCUCAACUGUGAAUCCGGCGAAGUUGUAGUGCGAGUGAAGAUGCUCGCUACCCGCGAUUGGACGGAAAGACCCCGUAGAGCUUUACUGUAGCUUAGCAUUGAAUUUCGGUAUUGUCUGUACAGGAUAGGUGGGAGACUGGGAAAUUAGGGCGUCAGCCUUAAUGGAGUCGUUGUUGGGAUACCACCCUGAUAGUAUUGAAGUUCUAACUGGAUGCCAUGAAACUGGUGACAGGACAUUGUUAGGUGGGCAGUUUGACUGGGGCGGUCGCCUCCUAAAAUGUAACGGAGGCGCCCAAAGGUUCCCUCAGAACGGUCGGAAAUCGUUCGUAGAGUGUAAAGGCAUAAGGGAGCCUGACUGCGAGACCUACAAGUCGAGCAGGGACGAAAGUCGGGCUUAGUGAUCCGGUGGUACCUCGUGGGAGGGCCAUCGCUCAACGGAUAAAAGCUACCUCGGGGAUAACAGGCUGAUCUCCCCCAAGAGUUCACAUCGACGGGGAGGUUUGGCACCUCGAUGUCGGCUCAUCGCAUCCUGGGGCUGUAGUCGGUCCCAAGGGUUGGGCUGUUCGCCCAUUAAAGCGGUACGCGAGCUGGGUUCAGAACGUCGUGAGACAGUUCGGUCCCUAUCUGUCGUGGGCGUAGGAAGUUUGAGAAGAUCUGUCCUCAGUACGAGAGGACCGGGAUGGACAUAUCAAUGGUGCACCAGUUGUCACGCCAGUGGCACAGCUGGGUAGCUAAAUAUGGAAGGGAUAAACGCUGAAGGCAUCUAAGUGUGAAACCCACUUCAAGAUGAGACUUCCCAUUACGCAAGUAAGUAAGACCCCUUAAAGACGAUAAGGUUGAUAGGUCAGGAGUGUAAGCAUGGCGACAUGUUCAGCGGACUGAUACUAAUAGGUCGAGGACUUAACCU
rnacentral:rRNA from 1 species